AGUCCCCGGCCUGGAAACUAAAAGGUUUUGAUGUGUGUGCAUGCAAGGGUUGACUUAGCAGAUCCCACGUGGUCAAGCCAUGCAUGUUCCAAAAAGAGGUCUGGCUCUGAGCCAGCUCCUGGGAUAUGCCUCUAUGCCCUUGGAAUGUCCUGCCUGAUACAGGUGCCUGUGCUUACCUGGGUGGGGCCUUGGGUCACACCACAUAGUUUAUGCUAAUCGGGAGUUAUGAUGGGGCAUUGCACCUGGCGGCAUCAACCUAACUUCUCAGAGACUGGAAAACAAGUAAUUGCAGCCAGAUGGGUUCACCAUGCUCCUGUGACUAACCCAUCCUAAGAACCGUGAACCCUAGGUGUCUUGGCUUCCUAGUUGACAAUAUUCCAUAUCAGUGCUGCAUCAUUUUGGGAGGAUUAAAUAUUAUUCAUGAUACUCCUCUGAGUGAUGACAAAUUAGAGCUUGCUCCUGGUUUCUCUCAGACUCUUUCCUAAAUGCUUCUUACCUUUGCAGAUUUUAAGCCAUUUCUUUUGCUGCAAUAAACUGAAACUGUCAGUGUAAGCAUUUUUCCAAGUUUCUUGUAGUCACUGACCUGGACAGUGGUCUCUAGCACUCUGACACAACAAUUUAAAGUCUUAUUAAAUUUAAUUUGUAUAUAUAGAGAGACCCAGCUAUACCACUCCUUGGUAUUUAUCUUAAAGAAUUAAUCAUACUAUAGUGAUACAUGCAUAGCCAUGUUUAUACUAGCACAAUUCACAAUAUCCAAACUAUGGAACCAAUCUAAGUGUCCAUCAACAGAUUUAUGGAUAAAGAAAAUAUGGCACAAACACAUACACAUACCCACACACAAUGGAGUUUUAUUCAG
rnacentral:lncRNA from 1 species